rnacentral:rRNA from 1 species
AACGAACGCUGGCGGCAUGCCUAACACAUGCAAGUCGAACGUGAUCCGGGACUUCGGUUUCGGUGAAAGUGGCGGACGGGUGAGUAACGCGUGGGAACCUGCCCAGUGGUAGGGGAUAACCGCGGGAAACUGCGGCUAAUACCCUAUGUGCCCUGCGGGGCAAAGAUUCAUCGCCAUUGGAGGGGCCCGCGUCGGAUUAGGUAGUUGGUGGGGUAAACGGCCUACCAAGCCUUCGAUCCGUAGCUGGUCUGAGAGGAUGAUCAGCCACACUGGGACUGAGACACGGCCCAGACUCCUACGGGAGGCAGCAGUGGGGAGUAUUGGAC